rnacentral:rRNA from 1 species
UACGGAGGGUGCUAGCGUUGUUCGGAAUCACUGGGCGUAAAGCGCGUGUAGGCGGCCUGUUAAGUCUGAUGUGAUAGCCCGGGGCUCACCCCCGGAAGUGCAUUGGAAACUGCCAGGCUCGAGUCCCGGAGAGGCGAGUGGAAUUCCCGGUGUAGCGGUGAAAUGCGCAGAUAUCGGGAGGAACACCAAUGGCGAAGGCAGCUCGCUGGGACGGUACUGACGCUGAGACGCGAAAGCGUGGGGAGCAAACAGG